AUUCCAGCUCCAAUAGCGUAUAUUAAUGUUGUUGCAGUUAAAAAGCUCGUAGUUGGAUUCCUGGCUUGGGGUAACCGGUCCGUCUAGCAAUAGAUGCGCACUGUGUGGCCUCGGCCAUCCUUGGGGAGAGCGGUUCUAGCAUUCAGUUGUCGGGGCCGGGAUCCCUAACGUUUACUGUGAAAAAAUCAGAGUGUUCAACGCAGGCUUACGCCUUGAAUACAUUAGCAUGGAAUAAUGAGAUAGGACCUUGGCGGUCUAUUUUGUUGGUUUGCACGCCGAGGUAAUGAUUAACAGGGACGGUUGGGGUUCUUCGUAUUCAAUUGUCAGAGGUGAAAUUCUUGGAUUUAUGGAAGACGAACUGCUGCGAAAGCGUCGAACAAGGACGUUCUCAUUA
rnacentral:rRNA from 1 species